GCCAGACUCCUACGGGAGGCAGCAGUGGGGAAUAUUGCACAAUGGGGGGAACCCUGAUGCAGCAAUGCCGCGUGAAGGAUGAAGGUUUUCGGAUUGUAAACUUCUUUUGUACGGGACGAAGAAAGUGACGGUACCGUAAGAAUAAGCCACGGCUAACUACGUGCCAGCAGCCGCGGUAAUACGUAGGUGGCAAGCGUUAUCCGGAUUUACUGGGUGUAAAGGGCGAGUAGGCGGGAUUGCAAGUCAGAUGUGAAAACUAUGGGCUCAACCGAUAGAGUGCAUUUGAAACUGCAGUUCUUGAGUGAUGGAGAGGCAGGCGGAAUUCCCGGUGUAGCGGUGAAAUGCGUAAAUAUUAGGAGGAACACCAGUGGCGAAGGCGGCCUGCUGGGCUUUAACUGACGCUGAGGCUCGAAAGCGUGGGUAGCAAACAGGAUUAGAUACCCGCGUAA
rnacentral:rRNA from 1 species